rnacentral:rRNA from 1 species
UACGUAGGGUGCUAGCGUUGUCCGGAUUUAUUGGGCGUAAAGGGCUCGUAGGCGGCGUGUCGCGUCGGGGAGUGAAAGCCCGCUGCUUAACGGCGGGUUGGCUUCCGGUACGGGCAUCGCUGGAGUGCGGCAGGGGAGACUGGAAUUCCUGGUGUAGCGGUGGAAUGCGUAGAGAUCCGGAAGAACACCGGUGGCGAAGGCGGUUAGCUGGGCAGUUGCUGGACACUGAGGCGCGACAGCGUGGGGAGCAAACAGGG